UCCGCCCCACGCUCCCCCUGCCGCCGCCUCCUCGUCCUCCUCCCGCCUGUCCUUGGUCCACUCUUCCCUCAGCCGGCGCUCCACGGCCCUGUUUGGGGCUCGCCUGAGGGCUGGGCUCUGUAGACGCGGGGAUGGGCCAGGCGAGCCCCUGACCCCCGGAGGUAGCAGGUCCAGAGGAAUCAGCAGAGGCUUCCUGGAGGAGGUUUUUGUACCCCUAGGAGGACUGCGUCUUCCUCAUCUUUGUCUUCAGAAGAUAAAUACAAGGCCUGACACAUAGCAAGCAUUAGGGCUGCAAUAGAUAUCUCUGUCAUUCAUCUUUCUGGACAUGUGGAAGUGUAUCUGUUGAAUUAAUUCCUGGAAGCUGAAUGCCUGGGUCACAGGCUAAUAUCACAAAAUGAGGACAACCAGACAUUUAAUUCCUCCUGAUGGAAAUUCACAGUACUAUCUGAAUAAUUCACCAUACAAUCAAGCCUCUAGAUCUAACCUUGGUUGCCAGGAGCCAGUCUCCUGGACAACAGUGGAGAGGUUCCCAAGCCCUUCUUUUGCUCCUUAUGAGCCUCUCCCAGCCUGAUCCCACCUUACACAGAUGAGAAAACAGACUUGGCAAAGAAUCACCUGCCUGCUUUUCAGCUGUGGGCCCUUGGACAGGGAACUUAGUCUCUGAGCUUGAUGUCAUCUUACACAGUCAAAACAAACCAUAAUGCUUGCUCCAGUGGCCCCUGACACGUGCAUUCUCACCAAUGUUUGCUUCUCUUUUCAAAAAGAAUAAAAAGACCCAUCCUGGACCAAUGUUCUCAGCUGGCCACGCCUUUUAUUGGCUGGGGUAUAGUCUGGGGUAAGUCCUUUCCCGCUGCCAGCCUCAGUGUUCCCAUCUAUCAAAGGAGUGUUUCUGGGAGCUUGAUCAUCACUGUCUUCUCUCCUGUAACUCUCUCCUGGGACCUGGGCAAUGUAAGCACCUGAACAAGUGAUGGCAGACCCUUGGGCUUCUGAGCCCGCUGUCACCCUGUGCAGUCGGAGGCUGCCUGCUGGCACUGAGAUUUCUGCAGAUCCUUGAUCCAAGGUCCAGGAGUUAGUAAGCAGGGAAAACUCUAUGAAACAGUCCUUGACUAUCUCCUUCUGCUGCUUCUGAACCACCCAGGUCUGACCCCCUGGCCUUUCUAUAGUUGAGCUACCCCCUGCUCCUUGCAGCCCAGAAUGGAACCCCAUCCUUCUCACAGCUGCCCCAGAAUGUCCAGCCUGCCCCCAUCCAGAGUUCUCUGGCCCAGAGGACCAAGGCCAAGUGCUUCAGCCUGGUUGCUGUCCACUCAGGGACUCCUGCCAGGACCUCUGGACUCCUAGGCCCUGUAUGGAGAUCCCAGACCCUCCAUGUCCAGCCAUCCUCUACCCCUUUGCUCAGGCUGUUCUGCUUACCUGCCACAGGUACCCUGAAGAGAAUAAUGUUUGACCUUCAAAGACAGCUCAGGUGCUUCUCUCCUCCACCUCCUCUAGGAAGUCUCCCCUGACUGCCCUACUCACAAUGACCUCCACCUCCACUGAGUUCCCUGUGUAUCUUACUCUGUGUAUGUCUCAGUUACUAGUGAGGGCCAUGAGGGCGGGGACAGGGCCUGACUCAGCCCAGGGACCUGGGAGGCAGGUUGGGCCAGAACUAGGUUUAAAUUGCACAUCAGCCAACUUAAAGCAUUUUGACCUCUCUGAGCUGUAGUUUCUCAUCUGUACAAUGGGAAUGGUAUCAAUUAUCUGUUCCAGAAGUACAACUCCUUUUGACUGGAAGGAGAAAUUUAGAGAGCUCAGAGCCCAGAGCCCCAAGCCCCGAGCCUGGCGUCGGAUAUUAAUCUACUAAUUCUCACCCUGUCACGGAACUUUACAGCUGCUUUCUGAGAAAUCUCCUUACUGACUAAAUCUGCCUUAGUCCUCACUUUUUUUCCAAGAAAGGGAGGGGCCAUUUCACCCUGGCAUGGGGAACCAGAAACUAGGGAGACCUGGCUGUGGGUCCUGAUUGGACCUGGGUGAACCCAGAAGGAAGUGCCGAGUCUGGGAGCUUCCCCUGCUUGUGCCCAGGGAGUCAGGGUGGGAUGGGCUUCCGAGCUGCCCUAAAUGUCCUAGCCGGAAGACAUGUGCUCUGUCACUUACAAAAUAUCCACAGGCCUGUGCUGGGUGCUGCAGACUCUGGGGGAGUUCCUCAAGAAGCCCGCAGACUGCCAGAGAUGAUGCUCCCCAGUACCAUCUAGGGACACCCAGGGUCUGUAGGACACCCAGGAGCCCCUGGCCUAACCUGGAGCCUAGGAGGGUGGAGUGCUGGGUUCUCGGGGUUGACUGGGGCCAGGGGGUGGAGGAAGGAGGAGGCUAGCACUAGGCAGUACUGAGGGCAGGGCUGGCUGCCAGGGCUGGAGAUCUGUGCCGCUGCACGGGGCUCUGCGUUUAGAAUGGUUUAGUACUCUGCAGGCAUCACCCUGAAAUGCUUAAUAAUUUUUUAACAGGGAGCUCUACAUUUUCAUCUUACGCUGGAUCUCAUAAAUUAUGUACCAGCCUUGCAGGGAGUCGGGGUGAGCCUGUCACCAAAGGGGGUUGGGAAAAUAGCCUCCCACAAAGAAAGGGCAGAAUUUGGGGUCAGGAGUAAGUCCUGGACAAGUGCCAUCUAAUCACCCUGGAUCUCCUACCGGGUCUCUCCACUCCACCCUGGAUCCCCCGCCUCACCCUUCACAAGCAGCCGUGGGGGGUUCCUUCAAAUGCAACUCUUCAAAGAAAUAUUUUUAAUAUUAAAUACAUUUUAUCAUGAAAGCAAUACUUGCUUAUUGAGCAAAAUGUCAAACACUACAGACAGGUAUAAAAUGAGAAGUAGAAAUGCCCUCCCCAUUCCCCAUCCUUACUCCCAGGGUCCCUCUCCUCAAAGCCACCAGGUUCUGGCUCCUUGUGGGUCCCGCCAUGCACCUUCCAUAUCAAUGUGCAUCUCUUUUAUUCAUGCAGUGGAUUUGGAUCACACAUAUAACAACCUUGUGACAACGUUUUCGCUUGUAACCUAUCUUGGAGAACUUCACAUGUCCAGACACGUAGAUUUAACUCCUUUUCGAUGGCUGCCUAGUAUUUCGUGAUACCGAUCUACCAGUUUGCCCAUCCAUUGCCCUAUGAAUGAGGAUUCAGUUGUUUUCAGACUUUGGUUGGCUACCAACAGUGCCGCCACUGGAAUUCUGUCCAGGUAACACUCUGCCUGUGGACAUUCCUGCAGGGUUGACUUGCUGGGUCAAAGGGUAUAUGCACAUAGCAUUUGAAGGAUUUGUCAAAUUGUCCCCCUAAAACCCUGCUCCAAUCUACACUUGCACCAACAGAAUAUAGAAGGGUGUCUAUUUCCCCACAUCUUUGUCAACACUGGGUUUUAAGAAGAUAGUCUGAUCAUGCAAAUGUCCUGCUUAAAACCCCUCACGCCUCUAGGAGUUGGAGCAUAACUUUCACCCUUCAGCGUGGGCUCUGCAUAGUGACCUUCUUCCAAAGAAUGCGGCGUGGAAAGGGAGGGAAAAGAGUAACUUGAGGGUUACAAGGGAGAAGCCUGACAACAUCACCUCAGCCAGGUGACCAAGGUCAGUGGCAACAGGGGUAGGUCUCGGUGACAGUGCACACCUUUGUUACGAUGGCAUAAAAAUCACCAUUUGCUUCUGUGGUCUUCCUCCCCAAAACCCAUAACCGCAGUCUAGUCAUGAGAAAAGCAUGGGACAAAUUCAAACUGAGGGACAGUCUCCUCAAAACUGUCAAGGUCAUCAAAGACAAGGAAAGUCUGAGAAACUGUCACAGCCAGUAGGAGCCUAGGGAGACAGGCUGACCGAACGCAA